CUGGUGUAGUGUUUGGUGAACUAUUGUAUAGUUGCACUUUCUCUGUGUACUUCAUUUACAGUACUCUAAUCACUGAGAACACAAGACCAAUUCU